rnacentral:rRNA from 1 species
AAAGAAACUAACAAGGAUUCCCCUAGUAACGGCGAGUGAACCGGGAAGAGCUCAAAUUUGAAAUCUGGCGUCCUCAGGGCGUCCGAGUUGUAAUCUAUAGAGGCGUUUUCCGUGCCGGACCGUGUCCAAGUUCCUUGGAACAGGAUAUCAAAGAGGGUGACAAUCCCGUACUUGACACGACGACCGGUGCUCUGUGAUACGUCUUCUACGAGUCGAGUUGUUUGGGAAUGCAGCUCAAAAUGGGUGGUGAGUUCCAUCUAAAGCUAAAUAUUGGCGAGAGACCGAUAGCGAACAAGUACCGUGAGGGAAAGAUGAAAAGCACUUUGGAAAGAGAGUUAAACAGUACGUGAAAUUGUUGAAAGGGAAACGAUUGAAGUCAGUCGUGACCGAGAGGCUCAGCCGGUUCUGCCGGUGUAUUCCCCUCGGUCGGGUCAACAUCAGUUUUGUCCGGUGGAUAAGGGCGGUAGGAAGGUGGCACCCUCGGGUGUGUUAUAGCCUGCCGUCGCAUACAUCGGGUGAGACUGAGGAACGCAGCUCGCCUUUAUGGCCGGGGUUCGCCCACG